CGCGGCUCAGAGAGCGCGGGGCGGCGCGCGGCGUGCGGGUCGCUGCUGAGCUCCGCUCUGGUGCCGGCUGGCGGGGCUCGCCGGGGACUGUGUCCAGUUCGCGGAGCGCGCCGCCGGCUCGGCCGGAGGGCCGCCUGAUCGCUCCGGCCCGUGGCGGGAGCGCGGGGCCCGCGUCUGGGAGGCGGCGGCCGCCAGCGCGGGGCCGUCGGCGGCCAACCCCCGGGGACCGGGGCUGCGCGGCCGGUUCCCGCCCCGCGCCGCCGCCGCCGCCACCGCCUCCGUCGCCGCCGCCGCCCCAGGGCCGACCGAUCGGCUUGGCUCCGCCGCGCCCCGCGCAGCCCCGCCGCGGCGUCCGGCCCGGGUUCCGCGCCGCUGGGGCGCGGGCGGGGUCGGGGGUUGCGGGGCCGCCGCCGCCGCCCGCCCGCCUGGAGUCCGCGUCCCGGGCCCGGGCGGCCGGCGAGCAUGGAGGAGAAGUACCUGCCGGAGCUGAUGGCGGAGAAGGACUCCCUGGACCCCUCCUUCACGCACGCCCUGCGGCUGGUGAACCAAGAAAUAGAGAAGUUUCAAAAAGGAGAAGGCAAGGAUGAAGAAAAGUACAUUGAUGUGGUGAUUAAUAAGAACAUGAAGCUGGGACAGAAAGUGUUAAUUCCUGUAAAACAGUUUCCUAAGUUCAACUUUGUGGGAAAACUUUUGGGGCCACGUGGAAAUUCUCUGAAGCGUUUACAAGAAGAAACCUUGACAAAAAUGUCCAUCCUUGGAAAAGGCUCCAUGAGAGACAAGGCGAAGGAAGAAGAGUUGAGGAAAAGUGGAGAAGCAAAGUACUUCCAUCUCAAUGAUGAUCUCCAUGUUCUCAUUGAAGUUUUUGCACCCCCAGCAGAAGCCUACGCCCGGAUGGGACAUGCUCUGGAAGAAAUCAAAAAGUUCCUCAUUCCAGACUAUAAUGAUGAAAUCAGGCAGGCACAGCUCCAGGAAUUAACAUAUUUGAAUGGUGGUUCCGAAAAUGCCGAUGUCCCAGUGGUUCGAGGGAAACCUACCUUACGUACAAGAGGUGUACCAACCCCAGCAAUAACCAGGGGCAGGGGAGGAGUCUCAGCCCGGCCUGUGGGAGUCGGGGUACCACGGGGGACACCAGCUUCCAGGGGCGUCCUCUCCACCCGAGGGCCAGUGAGUCGUGGAAGAGGACUGCUCACUCCCAGAGCACGAGGAGUGCCCCCAACUGGGUACAGACCUCCACCGCCGCCCCCGACGCAGGAGACCUAUGGAGACUAUGACUAUGAUGAUGGAUAUGGCACUGCUUAUGAUGAACAGAGUUAUGAUUCCUAUGAUAACAGCUAUAGCGCCCCAACCCAAAGCGGUGCUGAUUACUAUGAUUAUGGACAUGGACUCAGUGAAGAAACGUAUGAUUCCUAUGGGCAAGAGGAGUGGACUAACUCGAGACACAAGGCCCCCUCGGCGAGGACCGCGAAGGGCGUCUACAGGGACCAGCCAUACGGCAGAUACUGAUUGUGCUGUCUGCUGUUGUGACAUAGCCAGUCUCCACCAGUCCUGUAUACUGUUCAAAGAAUGUCAGCCACCUUGGAAAGUGAAAGGAAGGCGGCGUCAGUCCAGCGGACACAGGUGAGUGUCCUUGUUCCGGUUCUUUGAUGUGCUUGGAGGAUGAAGACGGCCUCAUGCUCUUCCGCGCGCUUCCCGCUACCAACUAGUGACAUAGCGGCAGUGGCAGAUUCCCUCCCGGAAUGUAAGCCAGUCAGACCCCGUCAGGCCUGCACAGGCCGCGGAGCCAGGAGGCUCGGCCCCCGCAGUGUGAACUUUCCUUCCAAUUAUGGACUGCUUAAGAAUAGUCAACUCACCAACGUGCCUAGUCAGUAAAUGAAUUCACUUGAGAACUUGAAAAUCAUCUUUUUUUUGCAGUUUUGUGUUUCAUGAAAUGUUUUAUAAAAUGGUAUGCUUUCUGAUUUGAAAAGUCUGUUAAAAAAAAAAAAAGGGAAAGAAAAUCAAUCUUUGUCCCCUAACAGAAAACAAAUGAUUUGUGUAUUACUUAAUAAAGGCUGCCCAUUUCAA